rnacentral:lncRNA from 1 species
CGCGGCCGGCUGGGCUCGGGGAGCUGCUGCGGCCGCCGCCGCCGCGCCGCUGUCUGUGGUAGCAUCUCAGCUUACACGCUGCUUUAAAGCCCUGCGGCCGGCACCGCGCGCCCGCUGACGCCGCCCCAGCCUUGCCCGCCGUAGCGCGGCGGCCCUGCCCGCGUCGCAGUACGAGCGGGCGGGCGGGCGGGGAGAGGCGGGAGGCGGGGGGUACCCGGGGCGGGGCGGCCGCAGAGCUUCAGGGCUCGCCUCAGGGCGCGAGCUCCCCUCAGGACAGCGGCGUGCGGGCAGCGGUCGUGAAAUGGCGGUUGGCCCCUUCCCUCCCUCUUUUCCCUCAAAACUGAAGGAGAGGUCUCUGAUUCUCCACAAAGAGAAAAGGAAAAACAUCUGUCAGUUUGGUAAUAUUUUAGGGAGGUGCUGCUGUUCCAAAAGGCUGUCCUUCGACUUACUGCAGAUUCUCACAUCUUGGCAUGCUGUCCCUGUCACUUCGAGUAAAAUCCAUGCUGCAGCCAUUUUUGGAUUUUGCCAAGGUAGUAAACAAAACCCAAAGGGUUCUCAGCAAAACAUUGUCUUAAAUCUCUUCCUGUCUUCCUGAUACUCAAACAAAGAAGCUGUCCUCUGAUUGUGAUAGUAUGAUGACACUCCAGCUUAAGGCUUAUCGAUAGAAAAGAUAUGUUCCUGGAUUGCUUGUGUACUAAGAAACAAAACAUGUUAUGCCUUACAUGCACACAAAAAGCACACCAGUUCAUACAGCAGAUAGAUAUAUUUAAUGUGUUUUGGGGGCAGAUCACUAAUUACAGCAGGACAGACUUUAGAUUUCAUGUGAAAGCUGAUUUUAAAGUACAGAACUAUAAAAAGAAACUUUAACUCCUAUUACUGCUUUGGAAGCUUAAACUGGAUGAACUGAUUAAAAAAAAUAGCGUGGCUAAAGCAUUUAACAAUGGAAACUUGUACCUCACUCUGCAAUGGUUGGUUGUCCCAGCCAAAAUGGAGUUUAAAGCAGAAAUGGUAACAGAUCCUGCACUAUCAAAGGUAGCAGCCAGUGCUUAGAUAUUAAAGCAAGUCCAAUACAGAGCCAAAGUAAAAAAAAAUUACAAUUGGGAAGGUCAAGGUACAGUUGAACAUACCACGUUUCUUCCUUUCUUGUCCAUGGUAAGUACCUAGGAGGCAGUUCAACCAAGUAGUUAGGCUGUGGUAAGAACAAAGCUGUUGUACAGAGUGGGAUUUCUUUUUUUACCCACUGGGGGAACAAAUUCUUCAUUGGGCAUGUUGUAGUCCUUACACUGAAAGACAAGUAUGAAGCUCCACUAGUCCUUAGGCUGUGCUACUUCAGAGCAGUGCUGGAGCUGCCCAGUUAACUGUGCAGAAGGAUUCUUUUCCCUUUGCAGGACACCUGACUUAUCCUUUUGUUCUGGCCAGCCUUGAGGAACUGCAUAUGCCGUUUAAUACCUAACACUGGUGUUUUUAUGCAUAUGGCAGAAGGCUGUAUACUAUGUUCAAUUUUGUAUUUACCUGUCAGUAUACAUUCACACUUGUGUCAUGUACCUUUCUUGUUUCAGUGAGAAUCUUAAGCCAAAACAUGUAUUUAAAGUGCUCUUCAGGCCAAGGCAGAUGGCACCAUUUUUGUCUUACAUAGUAAAUGGAGAAUGGUUAGGGCAGAAUCUCUCCUAGAACCUAGAAGAAAUACAAAACUUUAAUUACUCUCGCCUGAUUUACCACAUGGCCACAACAUGUCAAUUGCAAUGAUAUUAUGGAUUAUGUGUCAUUAACUUGUUUUUGUUCAGAUUUUCAUGCUAUUUAGGGCAUGCUCUGUCAUGAAUCUUUAGAAAUCAUCUUUUUAUGUUGAUUCUUUUGUUUGGCACACUGCCACCUAGCUGCAGUCUUCCCUCAUCAGUUCUGAAGUUACGCUAGAAGCAAGAUGAAACAUUUGACAAGUGAGGUUUACUUGGAUUCACCUGAAAUAUUCUUCGGUAGAGAAACUGCUGAUGGGAAGAAGGGACAAAAAUAGAAAAAUAGUAUUGUUAUUACAAAUCAUACAGUGACAGUAGACUCAGUACAAUUUUGAAGCAAGUUGUGAUGUGCUGACAUGAUUUUCUCUCUGAAAAAAAAUUGAUUGCAAAGCACACACAUGAAGUGGAAAAGUCAUAUUUGUCCAGGCACAUUUUAAUAGGUAGUGAUUUGGGAAAAUAAAUGAGGAAGAAAUGUAAAUACA